rnacentral:rRNA from 1 species
UCAGGUGGUUAUAGCACGAGGGUUCCACCUCUUCCCAUUCCGAACCGAGAAGUUAAGCCUCGACACGCCGAUGGUACUGCGUAACAGUGGGAGAGUAGGUAGCCGCCGUUU